rnacentral:rRNA from 1 species
GACGAACGCUGGCGGCGUGCUUAACACAUGCAAGUCGAACGGAAAGGCCCUGCUUUUGUGGGGUGCUCGAGUGGCGAACGGGUGAGUAACACGUGAGUAACCUGCCCUUGACUUUGGGAUAACUUCAGGAAACUGGGGCUAAUACCGGAUAGGAGCUCCUGCUGCAUGGUGGGGGUUGGAAAGUUUCGGCGGUUGGGGAUGGACUCGCGGCUUAUCAGCUUGUUGGUGGGGUAGUGGCUUACCAAGGCUUUGACGGGUAGCCGGCCUGAGAGGGUGACCGGCCACACUGGGACUGAGAUAAGGCCCCGACUCCUACGGGAGGCAGCAGUGGGGAAUAUUGCACAAUGGGCGGAAGCCUGAUGCAGCAACGCCGCGUGCGGGAUGACGGCCUUCGGGUUGUAAACCGCUUUCGCCUGUGACGAAGCGUGAGUGACGGUAAUGGGUAAAGAAGUACCGGCUAACUACGUG